UACGUAGGGGGCAAGCGUUGUCCGGAAUCAUUGGGCGUAAAGAGCGUGUAGGCGGCUCGGUAAGUCCGCUCUGAAAGCCCGGGGCUCAACCCCGGGAGGCGGGCGGAUACUGUCGGGCUAGAGUCCGGAAGAGGCGAGUGGAAUUCCUGGUGUAGCGGUGAAAUGCGCAGAUAUCAGGAGGAACACCAAUGGCGAAGGCAGCUCACUGGGACGGUACUGACGCUGAGACGCGAAAGCAUGGGGAGCGAACAGG
rnacentral:rRNA from 1 species